GCGAUGUUUCAUUUCCAAAUUUUCCUUGCCCUUAUUCAACUUUUUUCGACGGUAGGGUAGUGGCCUACCGUGGUUGGUAACGGGUGACGGAGGAUUAGGGUUCGAUUCCGGAGAGGGAGCCUGAGAAACGGCUACCACAUCCAAGGAAGGCAGCAGGCGCGCAAAUUACCCAAAUCCCAACUCGGGGAGGUAGUGACAAGAAAUAACGAUGCUCCGGCCAUCGGUCGGGUAAUCGGAAUGAGGACAAUUUAAAUCCCUUAUCGAGGAUCAAUUGGAGGGCAAGUCUGGUGCCAGCAGCCGCGGUAAUUCCAGCUCCAAUAGCGUAUAUUUAAGUUGCUGCGGUUAAAAAGCUCGUAGUCGGAUUUCGGGUGGUGCCUACCGGUCCGCCCUUGGUGUGUACUGGUAGGCGCCACCUUUCUGCCGAGGACGGGUUCCUGGGCUUAGCUGUCUGGGGCCCGGAGUCGGCGAUGUCACUUUGAGUAAAUUAGGGUGUUUAAAGCAGGCUUAUGCUCUGUAUACACUAGCAUGGGAUGACACGAUAGGACUUCGGUCUAUCUUGUCGGUCUGUAGAUCGGAGUAAUGAUUAAGAGGGACAGUCGGGGGCAUUCGUAUUUCGUAGUCAGAGGUGAAAUUCUUGGAUUUACGGAAGACGAACUUCUGCGAAAGCAUUUGCCAAGGAUGUUUUCAUUGAUCAAGAACGAAAGUCGGGGGCUCGAAGACGAUUAGAUACCGUCGUAGUCUCGACCAUAAACGAUGCC
rnacentral:rRNA from 1 species